UACAGAGGGGGCAAGCGUUAUUCGGAAUUAUUGGGCGUAAAGGGCGCGUAGGCGGCCUGGCAAGUGGAAGGUGAAAUCCCUCGGCUUAACCGAGGAACUGCCCUCCAAACUGCUUGGCUUGAGUCCGGGAGAGGUGAGUGGAAUUCCCAGUGUAGCGGUGAAAUGCGUAGAUAUUGGGAGGAACACCAAUGGCGAAGGCAGCUCGCUGGGACGGUACUGACGCUGAGACGCGAAAGCAUGGGGAGCGAACGGG
rnacentral:rRNA from 1 species